UCUGUGGUUUUGUCUCCAUACAUAUUUGCUUGGCAAGUGGAAGAUCGCUGGUUCAAUUCCAGCCCACAGAU
rnacentral:tRNA from 1 species